UUGCACUCCCCUUAACAAUAAUGAAAGAGGCCUCAGGCCUGACAGCAGGGACACGGUUAAGACACUGCCACCUGCUCCCUCACUUCU
rnacentral:snRNA from 1 species